GUGAGGAAUAUUGCGCAAUGGAGGCAACUCUGACGCAGCCAUGCCGCGUGCAGGAAGAAGGCGCUACGCGUUGUAAACUGCUUUUAACCGGGAAGAAACCCCAGGACGUGUCCUGGGUUGACGGUACCGGAGGAAUAAGCACCGGCUAACUUCGUGCCAGCAGCCGCGGUAAUACGAAGGGUGCAAGCGUUAUCCGGAUUCAUUGGGUUUAAAGGGUGCGUAGGCGGAUUUAUAAGUCAGUGGUGAAAUCCUGCAGCUUAACUGCAGAACUGCCAUUGAUACUGCAGAUCUUGAAUUGAGUGGGAGUGGGCGGAAUAUGACAUGUAGCGGUGAAAUGCAUAGAUAUGUCAUAGAACACCGAAAGCGAAGGCAGCUCACUAAGCAAAUAUUGACGCUGAGGCACGAAAGCGUGGGGAUCAAACAGGAUUAGAUACCCGUGUAGUCC
rnacentral:rRNA from 1 species